GACGAACGCUGGCGGCGUGCUUAACACAUGCAAGUCGAACGGAAAGGCCCUGCUUUUGUGGGGUGCUCGAGUGGCGAACGGGUGAGUAACACGUGAGUAACCUGCCCUUGACUUUGGGAUAACUUCAGGAAACUGGGGCUAAUACCGGAUAGGAGCUCCUGCUGCAUGGUGGGGGUUGGAAAGUUUCGGCGGUUGGGGAUGGACUCGCGGCUUAUCAGCUUGUUGGUGGGGUAGUGGCUUACCAAGGCUUUGACGGGUAGCCGGCCUGAGAGGGUUACCGGCCACAUUGGGACUGAGAUACGGCCCAGACUCCUACGGGAGGCAGCAGUGGGGAAUAUUGCACAAUGGGCGGAAGCGUGAUGCAGAAACGCCGCGUGCGGGAUGACGGCCUUCUGGUUGUAAACAGAUUUCGACUGUGACGAAGAGUGAGUGACGGUAAUGGGUAAAGAAGCAACGGCUAACUACGUG
rnacentral:rRNA from 1 species